rnacentral:rRNA from 1 species
GACGAACGCUGGCGGCGUGCUUAACACAUGCAAGUCGAGGGCAUGCAGCAAUGCAUGACCGGCGAACGGGUGCGUAACACGUGAGCGACCUUCCGUCUUCUGGGGGAUAGCCGGCCCAACGGCCGGGUAAUACCGCAUACGCUCAUCGGGGGGCAUCCCUUGAUGAGGAAACUUCCGGGGGAGGACGAGGGGCUCGCGGCCUAUCAGCUAGUUGGGGGGUAACGGCCUCCCAAGGCGACGACGGGUAGCUGGUCUGAGAGGAUGGCCAGCCACAUUGGGGACUGAGAGACGGCCCAGACUCCUACGGGAGGCAGCAGUGGGGAAUCUUGCGCAAUGGCCGAAAGGCUGACGCAGCGACGCCG